GUUAUGUGUUUAGGCAGACGAAGUCCGCGGUCAUUCUAUGAUAUACAGAGUUUGUAAAGGGGACGGCCUCGCCGAUUAGAGCUCGGCCCUCCCAAAGGUUCACAGGGGUUUGGUUUGGAAGGCACGCCCGAGAGCCCGCAGCACGGCGUCUCCGCCGGUGCAGGGCCGACCCGAGCGGCCGAACGAACACGUUAAUGAUCCUUCCGCAGGUUCACCUACGGAAA
rnacentral:misc_RNA from 1 species